AAUAAAAGUCAAACUUGAAAAAAACAUAAAUAAUAGAGGUGUUGUUGUAGGAGGCAUGGUGUUUACAAAUGUAAUAAAGUAAUUGUGCCAUGAGAAAAAGAGAGAGAUGGAGGAAUUAUUAUCUCAUAAUGAGGGUAAUAGUUACCCACCCUCCCCCUAGUCACUACUACAAAUCCCUUAGUUUCUGGACGCUGUUUGCUCGACACCAGGUAACAGGUUAGCAAAAAAAAUUAAAUUCCGUGUUUUUUCGACGCGUUUCUGCGUCUCAAUUGGGUCUUGACACUUAAAAGCGUCGAACCUUAGUGCACGUGACUACAGUCCAUCCUGGGACUUCAAAAUUUUAGGAAAUAAUAAGCGGGCUAGCUAAAUUAAAAAAAUUAAAAAAAAAAACCACCCAUACAGUGAGUAUACCAAAAGUUAGACCGAAGAAAUAAAAAAAACCCUUUAGUUCGCCUUCAAAACCCUAAAUUUUCUAUGCUCGCUUACGAUUGACCUCAUCUGAUCUCCUAAACCACAUUGUUGAAUUUUCGUUCCUCUCUUCACUAUUAUCUUCAAUUAUCGGAUUUCGAAACGAUCGAUGCAUAGAAGCCAAGAAUAUAAAUCACAGGUCAUGGUAUUAGAUACUUUUUUAUAUAAUACUUGUUAUUAUUGAUUGGUAUGUGUUUUGCUUGAUUAUGUUUAUUGAAUUGUUGAUUUUUUGUAUUAAUUUCGUGAAAUUUUAAUUUUAUUUGGGGUUUGUGGGUUGAAACUUAUUUAUAGGUACUGAUUCUUGAAAGGCAAUUUGUGUUGAGAAUGCAAAUUGCUAAUAUCAGACAAUGUUUUCCUCAUUUUACAAAAUGUUGAACUCUUAAUUGAUUUAUCACCCUUCAUCGAUAACAACUUCCGCAAAUUAGAUUAAAGCUAUUUGAAAUUAUAGUUUAGAAAAUGAAAAUAAAGGGGUUUUUUUUUCUGCAAAAUAAACUUUAUUAAAUUGGAGAAAUUUUUAGUGAAAAUAAAACAAAGUAGAGCGGCAAGAAAUUGAUUAGGGUAAAGAAGAUAAAUACCCAGAAUCUACCUGCUGCUUAUACAAUCUGCUGCUGCCUGCUGCUUUUUCUCUUUGAUGCUUGCUGCUAUCAGCCUGGUUUGUGCUGCUGCUGCUUGUUGUUCUUCGUGUUCUGCCUGCUGCUUUUUCUCUUUAAUGCUUGCUGCUAUCCUUUGUUUGUUUGUGGUUUUCUGCCUUCUGCUGGUCUGCUGCUAGUUGGUGUUUGUUGCUGCUGCUUGUUGGCUGGUGCUGCUUUAGUCUGGUGCGUUUAUGCUGGUUGGUAGUUGCUGCCUUCUUCUUGCUCAGGCUGCUGCUGCUUGGUUCAGCUUUGCUGGAUGGUGCUGUUACUCUGCUGCUGGGUCUCUUGGGUUCUGCUCCAGGCUGCUGCUUGUGCUUUCUGCCUGCUGCUUUUCCUGUUGUGCUGCUUUAUAGUUUGUCUGUUGUGCUGCUUUAUAGUUUGUCUGCUUGCUGUUGGUUCUCAAGGGCUGCUAUUGUUGCUAUUUUCUUUGCUGCCUGUGGUGUAUAGAUUACUUGCUACCUUGACUAGCUGUUGUUUCUUUCUUUGUUUUUUGGUGUUGUUUCUUUGUUGGUUGUUUAUGUUAGUGAGAACAAUAAUCAAACAAAUGUUUAUGUUGAGAAUGUUAGCCAUAUGUGAACAAGUAGAUUACUAAAAAUCGUACAAGUUUAACUUAUGUAAAAAAUAUAUAUAAACUUAAGCCAAUAGGCUAAUAUUUAUGACAUAUCUUAAAAUUUGAAGUUGUGUUUAAUAGGUGACAGAGGAGGAGCUUGUCUAAAAAUUGUUCUAGAUUGUGAUAGUUGCUGCACUUAGCAAGUUGGCCGAGGUUUCUGGUGUUGUUGUUGCUGGGGCUACUUCCUCCCUGCUUUUGCUACAUAGCUUGUUGAUGCUGCCUGUGCUCAGUUGAUUUGUGUUAGCAGGCUGCUGGUUUUGUUGAUGCUGCCUGCGCUCAGUUGCUUUGUGUUAGCAGGCUACUGGUUUUGUUGAUGCUGCCUGUGCUCAGUUGCUUUGGGGCUGCUGUUUUUUUUUUUUUGGUACAUACCUUGUUGCUGUAGCUUAUAUGGCUGUUUUGUAGGCAACUUUCCAUCUUUUUUUUAUCUGAUUUUGUGUUUGGUGUUUUGGUUUGUUGUGUAUGCGACUGUUUUCAAGCUUAUUAUUUUUUAUCUGGGUUUUUAUUUUGGUUUGUUGUCUUAUUCUGCUGGUUUGGUUUAUUUUGGUUUGAUGUCUUGGGUGUUAGGUUGUUUGGCUCAUUGGUAUUUGUAAUUUUUUGCUGCUUUGCAGCCCUCUUAAUUGGUAAUACAAUAUUAUUUACCAUAUAUAUAUAAAAAAAACAGUAAAAAAAAAAAAUCUAGACGCUUUUUGUUGUCAAGAUAUUUUGCUUUAAUCAGUUUCAAAAUUUCCCGCCACUAUUUUUGUGUGGACAUUAAAAAGCGUCUCAAUUGAUUUUGAGACUGAAAACAAAGUCGACAAUAUAGACGGGAAAAAGCGUCUAGAAAUUUGGUGGUGGCGCCUAAAUACUGAUAUUCUCGACGGUUAAUAUAUUUAAUAAGACAUUAAUAAGCGUCGAUAUUUAAGACACUUAAAGGCGUCACAAAAUAUUGGGACACAAAAUGGUGUCGAGAUUUGUGACACGAAAAAGCGUCG